AAACUAACAAGGAUUCCCCUAGUAGCGGCGAGCGAAGCGGGAAGAGCUCAAAUUUAUAAUCUGGCACUUUCAGUGUCCGAGUUGUAAUCUCUAGAAGUGUUUUCCGCGUUGGACCGCACACAAGUCUGUUGGAAUACAGCGGCACAGUGGUGAUACCCCCGUUCAUGGUGCGGACGCCCAGCGCUUUGUGAUACACUUUCGAAGAGUCGAGUUGUUUGGGAAUGCAGCUCAAAUUGGGUGGUAAAUUCCAUCUAAAGCUAAAUAUUGGCGAGAGACCGAUAGCGAACAAGUACCGUGAGGGAAAGAUGAAAAGCACUUUGGAAAGAGAGUUAACAGUACGUGAAAUUGUUGGAAGGGAAACGCUUGAAGUCAGACUUGCUUGCCGGACUUGUUCGGUUUGCAGGCCAGCAUCAGUUUUCCGGGGUGGAAAAGGGUGGAAAGAAGGUAGCAGCUUCAGCUGUGUUAUAGCUUUCCACUGGAUACAUCCUGGGGGACUGAGGAACGCAGCGUGCUUUUAGCGGGGGUCUCGACCCCUUCACGCUUAGGAUGCUGGUGUAAUGGCUUUAAACGACC
rnacentral:rRNA from 1 species